AGAGAGAGAGAGAGAUUCCAUUGUCACUUGAAUUCACUCCGACACAGUAUCAAACCCAUUAUAGCAAAUGAUAGUUCAGCAUUGUAACAGGUCCUCUGAUUUCAAUUUUGUAUAGCUUGCCUUUCAUUGUUCUUGGCAGAAUCAAAAGGUAUUGCGCAAACCUAUCCCCUUGGCGUUGGAACAGAACCACUGCAGAACAGUCUCCAAAUUCACUGGUUUGGAAUAUGUCCUUUGUGGGGUUCUUUCUCAGGAGCUGUCACGCAUUAUA